UGGGAAAAUCAGAGUUAUGAGCUCUCCAUCAGGUUUCAAAAGAUCUCGAAUUUGCACUGCCCAUUGUGAUCUCAUCUCUGGUUCAAUGGCACAAAAGAACGUAUAAUCAAAAAUAAGAUCAAAUAACUCAGGUGGGUGCCAAGAGAAGAAGUCGGCCCUUAAGAACUUAAAACAAUUUGCAUUUGGAAACGAGGAAGAUAACUCUUCCGCUUUCUUAAUGGCUUUCUCAGAUAUGUCUAACCCAACAAUAUAACGUUCAGGGCAGGCAAUGGCUACCACAUCAUGACCGCUGCCACAUCCA
rnacentral:misc_RNA from 1 species